UGGAGUUAUAUUUGUUGAUGAAGGUUUAUAUAAAGGUUCCGCCUUCAAAUUCGUUCUUAAUCUUUCCGAAAGACAUCCACUGGAAUUUCCCGAGAUUCUCUUCCUUACACAUAUUCAUCACCCGCUGAUCCAGAAGAACGGAAAACUUUUUCCUCAAGCUCAC